UUGAAAGGGGAAUAGGGUUUGUUUGCGCCGUUUCACAUUCUCAGACUAAACAUUCUCUAUUCGUAUCUCUCACUCAAAACAGUCGCCGGAAAUCGCUUCCGCCGUACCGGAGGCGGCGGAGCUUGAGGUUUCACCCAAUAAGACCUCGAUCCCCGCUCUCCUUCUCACUCUGAUCAACAAUCCACCCUUAAAUUUGUCCGAUUCUUUCUCCAUUCCUCUAAAUCUAAGCAAAUAGAAAAACCUAGGUUUAACUAAAAACUUAAUUGAAUGUUAAUGGUGAGGAAUCCGAGAUCGAGACCAUAGGGUUAUGAAUAGUAAUGCUCGUUCUGUAUCGUGGCAUAAAGAAAAGUAGCAAAAAGUGGCAUAAAGAUGAAGUUCGAAUGGUUUACCUGGUAUGAAGAAUGCGCUUGAGAAAAAGAGAAUACCAGAGAGGCGGCUCCAGUUACUUGGCGAAAUAAACACGAUCUUCAGGUAAUUUCUCGAUUGCGUACUUCUACUUCUCGUUCUUUCCUUCUCUUCUUCUUUUUGAAUUUUGCGACUUUUUUUCUGAAAUUCUGAAUGGAUUUGCGAGGUGGUUGUUGAUGUUCUGCGAGCUUGAGAUUGAAAGAUUAAGACGUGUUGAAGUUGUUGCUAGAGGGUUGAAGGAUGAAGAUAGCGGAGAGUUGAGGAUUGAAGGUUUAGCUCAACCGUUCAGAGCUUCCAUUGAUGAAGCUCUGACAGUUAUGAAUUCCUGAGCUUUAGUUAGGUUAGGGAGAUGAAGGCAAUGGUGAAGAUUGAGAGAGAGAAUUUGAGAGAGAGUGAUGAAAUGGAUGAAAGAUGAAUGGUGCGUGUGUAUACAAAAAUGGUGGAGGGGGUGGUCAACCUUGAAUGAAGGUGAUGAGGUUUGAAUAUAUAGAGAUUGAGAGGGAGAAAGAGUUAGUUAGAGAGGAGUUUAAGAUUCUGAGCCAUUGGAUUAGAGGAAGUUAGUUAUGAGAUUAAGGGUGAGGAUUGGACAGUUGUGGAAGUUAGAAUCAGUUGGGAAAUUCUGUUGUUUCUGUUUUUGAUGAGCUGGAAGUUAGUUACAAACUGUUAUGACAGUUAGUUAGGUUGGUUAGAAUAUGCUCUAGCAGUUGGUUUUUGUAUUGAAUUUUCUGCCUCAUUUUGCCAGUUGAAUAUGCACUGAUGCAGUAUAACUGCUCCUUUUGUAUCUGCUCUCUUUUUUUUAGUCCCAAUGAUUGAUUGCUUGAACCGUAUUUGAAUAGCCUUCUGAUUGUGGAAUUUUGGCUCUGAAUAUGAUAUGUAUUGCUUGGGUUUUGAAUCCAAUGGGAUGCUGAAUGAAGGGAUAUAUGUAUGGCUGUGUAUGUUCUUGGAACUGUUUUCCUUGGCUUUUUCUUUUGGAAUGAGUGUGAGCUGCGGGUCCUUUUAAUUUGCAGCAAAGUCGUGAUUUGAAUUGUGCAGGUUGUUCAGGAAUGCAUGAGUGACAGUAACAUGGACCAUGGCUGAUGAUUGUAUGGUGUAGACCUUUGGUACAUGGACAUAUAUUGGGUGAAUGCUUAUGUAUGUGUGAUAUGGGGAUGGUGUCGAUUAGUGCAAUGUUAUUUAAUGCAGCUUUUCUUUUCUGUUUUGUCUAAUGGUGCAGGUUUAGCACAUAGCAACUUGUAUAACACAUUUAUUCAACACUUGGAUGACAAUGGUUAUAUGAUGCAUUUAAUUCAAUUGAUACAAGGAGGUCAAAAUGAAGAUGAAUGAAGAGGCUUUGAAGAGAAUAAGAUAUAAGCCUUAGGAUUAAUGUAAAAUAAUAAUGAAGUGAUAAAAAUAUUGUUUGGUUUGGUUUUCAAAUGCAUAUGAAAGUUUUGAA